AAAGAAUGCCAGGAGCCACCAGAAUAUGCAAGAAGCAAGAAAGGAUUCUCUUCUAGAUCCUCGGAGGGAGCAUGGCCUUCAGACACCUGGACUUCAGAUUUUGGACUUCUGGCCUCCAGAACUGUGCCCAUAUUUGAAUCUUUAAUGUAGGGCUACUGCAGUGACGCUGCCAACAAAUGACUUAAGGAGUUUUUGUCAUUUAUUUGGGAUUUUCUACAUGGACAAGCAUGUCAUCUAUAAACAAAGGUAGUACUAUUUCUUUCUUGCCCAACACUCAAUUUUAGUGAAAAACUCUCCGAUUUCUCAACAGUAAG
rnacentral:lncRNA from 10 species